rnacentral:tmRNA from 1 species
AUCAAUGCUUACCGUAAGUAAUCAUAACUUACUAAAACCUUGUUACAUCAAGGUUUUUUCUUUUUGUCUUGUUCAUGAGUUUCCGUUAUCCCUAUAGCCAUACCAUCACGCUGACCGAUACUCCAUCAAUACUACUCAAAACCUUGUCAUAUCAGAGCUUUUUGACCAUUUUUUUCAUGAAUAUCUAAAAAAAAGAAUCAAAAUAGUACUAAAUUCCCCAUAGCACAUGCGUUAUGGGGAAUCAUAGCUAUAUCUUGUUUAUAAUUUAUGAUAUAAUACAGCAAAAAUAGUUUAGGAAAUAACAUAUGACAAAAAAACACUUACUAACACUUCUUCUCAUCUCUUUUUUUACUAGCUUUUUGGUAGCUUGUUCAACAACGAAAGAUAAAGAGCCUCAACCGUCUGAUUCAGAAAUCAUUACUCCCCGACUACACCAAGCCGCUCAUCAAGAUAAACGCGCUAACUUUGAAAAAAUUAAACUUGCGACUGUUGAUUCCUCAUUUACAGGAGGAACAAGCCUUGAAGAACUUAUUUCACUCUUUGGAGAGCCUAGCCAACAUGAUCCAAAAACAGCAGGCGAAGUAACAAUCGACGCUUAUACUUGGCAGUUUGAUCAAGUUACUCUCACUGUUAAUCUUUAUCAAAAUAGUAGUAUUGUUAAAACCAUCUCUAAUUUUACCUUUGCAAGAGAGUUAGGCUUAUCGCAAAAGGAAUACCAACAAUUACAAAAAGGAAUGUCUUAUGAAGACGUUAAAAAGAUCUUAACAGAACCUGAUAAUUAUAGCCAAGCGUCAUCUAGUGAUCAUCAAACUUUGCAAGCGAUUUGGGUUAGUGGCUUAAAGACAGAUACAAGCGGAGCUAAUAUUUCUCUCGUUUUUGAAAAUAAUCAGUUAACAGAAAUGUCUCAGGUAGGACUUGAAGAAUAAAAAAUGCGUAAUAUAUUUUGCUAAAAAGAUUGAUUUCGAUGUACACCGAAAUCAAUCUUUUUAUAUCAUUUUAAUAAAAAACUUUAGUGUAGUUUCUUAUAAUUACCUCCAUAGAUCGAUAAACAGACUUGCUUUACGCUUAAUGUAAUAAUUAACCUAAGUCUGAAGAAAAAUCAUAAGACAGCAGAAACUACUGUCUUAUAAUUUAGUUUAAGCAUGUUACGGUACCGCUACCCCACAUUGCAAUUAUUAUUUUUUAUCGUGAAUGCCAAAUAUCUUCGUUAUACUGCUCAAUGGUACGGUCAGAUGAGAAGAAUCCAGCUUUUGCGAUGUUAUGGACCACUUUUGUCAUCCAUAAAUCUUGGUCUUCAUAGUCUGCUAACAUUUUUUCUUUCACUUCAAUGUACUCUUCAAGGUCAAUCAAGGUCAUGAACCAGUCUUUUGAAAUCAAUUCUUUAUAAAGACGAUCAAGACAUUCUUCGUUGCCAAAUGCUAGCAAUUCUGGACUGAUAAUAAAGUUCACUGCUGCUUUAAUAGCAGGGUGGUUAUCAUAGUAAUCUUUUGCUACAUAAGAAGCAGUUGCAUAAAGGUUGAUGAUGGUAUCAGAAUCUUUACCAAAGGUGUAGAUAUUUUCCAUGCCUGCAAGCUCAGCGAUUUCUACGUUAGCACCGUCCAUUGUACCAAGUGUUAAAGCACCGUUAAGCAUGAAUUUCAUAUUACCAGUUCCAGAAGCUUCUUUGGAUGCUAGUGAAAUUUGCUCAGAAAUAUCAGUUGCUGGAAUCAAGUGCUCUGCUACUGUCACGUUGUAAUUUUCAACUAGAUGCACAUUAAGGUAUGGGCUUACUUCAGGGUCAUUGUUAAUCAAUUCAGACAAGCAAAGGAUCAAGUGAAUGAUGUCUUGAGCAAUGAUGUAAGCAGGCGCUGCUUUACCUCCAAAGAUAACAGUGAUUUUACGUUUUGGAAGGUUGCCUUUUUUAAUUUCCAAAUAUUUGUGAAUCACGUAAAGAGCAUUCAUCUGUUGACGUUUGUACUCGUGGAAACGUUUGAUUUGGGUAUCAAUAAUAGAAUGUUCAUCAAGCUCAAUGUCUUUAUUGUCUUUAAGGUAACGUUUAAGAGCUAAUUUGUUGUUGAAUUUGAUUUCAGCCAAUUUAGCAUGAACAGCUUUGUCAUCUGCAAAGGCCAUCAAUUUUUCUAGUUUUGUUGCGUCAGUCAAGUACUCAUCGCCAAUAAGUUCUUUAAUGUAAUCAGCCAAGUCUUGGUUAGCAAAUUCUAGCCAACGACGGAAAGUAAUCCCGUUGGUUUUGUUGUUGAAUUUUUCUGGGUAAAGGUCAUAGAAAGCUUUUAAUUCGCUGUUUUUCAAGAUUUCUGUGUGGAGUGCUGCUACCCCAUUGACACUUGUUGCAAAAUGAAUAUCCAUAUGGGCCAUGUGCACACGACCUGAUUCGUCAAUAAUUUGAACAGCUGGGUCAGACACUUCUGAACGAACAAGAGCAUCCAAUUUUUCAAUGAUGGUUACCAAGUGUGGCACUACUUCGUUUAAGUAAGCAGUUGGCCAUUUUUCAAGGGCUUCUGCAAGAAUAGUGUGGUUAGUGUAACCAACCAUAUUUUUCACAACAGCUACCGCUUCAUCAAAGUCAAAGCCAUGUUUUUCAGUCAAGAGACGAAUUAAUUCUGGGAUGACCAUUGAUGGAUGCGUGUCAUUAAUUUGCACGUAAGCGUAGUCUGCAAGAUCAUGAAGGUUAGAACCACGUUCGAUAGCUUCAUCAAUGAUUAAUUGCGCUGCAUUUGACACCAUAAAGUACUGUUGGUAAAUACGGAGCAAUUCCCCAUUUUUAUCAGAAUCGUCUGGGUAGAGGAACAAGGUCAAGUUUUUAGCAAUUUCCGUUUUAUCAAAAGAAAUGCCAUCUUUGAUAAGACCAUAAUCAACAUCCUCGAUGUCAAAUAAAUUAAGGUAGUUUUUAGUGUCACGUUUGUAACCCAAAACAUCAAUACGAUCAAGACGAGAUUUUAAGGUAAAGUUUUUGAAGGGCACAUCAUAUGAAAUGUUUGUAGGAACCAACCAUGACUGGUCUUCAAUCCAGUAGUUUGGCUCAGCUUCUUGCUCAUUAUGUUUGAAGACUUGCUUAAACAACCCACAAUGAUAGUUUAAACCAACCCCUUCACCAUUAAUCCCAAGAGAUGCAAUAGAAUCAAUGAAACAUGAUGCCAAACGUCCUAAACCACCAUUCCCUAGUGAUGGUUCUAAUUCAACAUCUUCGACUUCUGCGAUAGAUUUGCCAGCAGCUGCCAAUUCUUCUUUGAUGUCUUUGUAAAUUCCUAGGUUAAUCAGGUUGUUUGAUAGUAAUUUACCAAUCAAAAACUCUGCUGAGAUAUAGUAAACUUUGCGUUUAGCAGAAUUUUUAGCCUUGUGGCUAGCUUCUUCUUUGACAAAGUUUAAUAAUGAUAGAUAAAUCUCUUCAUUGCUGGCUUGUGUAAGUGAUUUUCCUAGUUUAGUUUCAACAUAUUCUGUAAAGCGUGUCAUGUCUUCCUCUUUUCAAUAAUGUAACAUUUAAAUAUUAUCUUGCGCGACCAUAAAGAUCUGUUAAAUAAAUAAGGUAAUCUUUGUGAUCUUGGUUCAAUUCACCGUCAAGCAUACGCCAUUGCCAAUUACCUCCAAUUGUAUUUGGCAUAUUCAUACGACUCUUACCAUCUUUAUCUAAUAAAUCUUGGAUGCAAAGAAUGGCUGUAUCACAAACAGAAGCAAAGAUUGUUCUUAGCAUGGCUUUUGUAAUACUUUCAUCUGCAUGUUUGUGAAGAUAGUUAUUUACAAAGUGUACUUGUUCUUCACUAAGAUUGUCAUACCAUCCGUUAACCACCUCGUUAUCAUGAGUCCCUGUGUAAGCGACACAAUUACGGUCAUAGUAAUGUGGCAAAUCUAUACUUUGACUCGUUAUAUCAAAUAAACCAAAUUCUAAUAUCUUCAUGCCAGGAAAGCCUGUUGAUGCUAAUAGCUGCUCUGCUUUUUCAUCAAUAUAACCAAGGUUUUCUGCGAUGAUAGGAAGCUCUCCUAAGGCCUCACGAACCGCAGAAAAUAAUGCUAUACCUGGGGCUGAGGCCCAAUGGCCAUUUCUAGCAGUUUUAUCACCAGCAGGAAUUUCCCAAAAAUCUGAGAAGCCUUUAAAAUGAUCGAUUCUUAGCUGAUCAUAUAGUUUAAAACUUUCUUGAAUACGAUAAAUCCACCAUGCAAAAUUAGACUUUUCAUGAGCAGACCAAUUGUAGGUUGGAUUUCCCCACAGCUGACCAUCUUCACUAAAGCCAUCUGCUGGUACACCUGCAAUAAACAAUGGCUUUUUAUCACUAUCUACUUUAAAUAGCUCAGGCAUCGUCCAAACUUCUACACUGUCCGCAGAAACAUAAAUAGGCAUAUCACCAAUAAUUUCUAUCCCUUUAUGGUUAGCGUAAAUUUUCAAGGCUGACCAUUGUUGGUAAAAGAAGUAUUGACAGACUUUAUGAUAGGUAAUCUUUUUUGCAAGCAACUCACGGUAAUGAUGCAAGGCUGCUUCUUCGCGUUUCACAAUUGCUCUGUCAUCCCAUUCUUGUAGGGCCUUAUUUUGAAAGUGUUCUUUCAAUGACAUGAACUCGGCAAAGUCACCCAACCAACUCGCUUCUGCUUCAAAAGCUGCCAAUUCUUUGAUGCCUUCUUUAGUUGCAAGAAAGGCUUGGACCGCUUUUUCUAAUAAGGGGCGUCUUGCCUGAAAAAUCUGAGCAUAGUCAACCACCUCAGGGUCAGAACCAAAAUCAACGCCAACGAGAUCAGCUUCUUGCAAGUAGCCGUCUGCAACAAGUAAUUCAAAAUCAAUGAAAUGUGUGUUCCCAGCAAUAGCUGAAAAUGACUGAUAAGGAGAAUCUCCAAAACUCGUCGUUGUUAAAGGCAGAAUUUGCCAAUAGGUUUGUUUCGUCUCUGCUAGAAAAUCAACAAAUUCAAAAGCUGAUUUUCCAAAAGUGCCUAUCCCAAAUUUCCCAGGCAGGGAACUAAUAUGCAUUAAGAUACCGCUUGCACGUUUGUUCAUGAUUUUUCUCCUUGUGAAAUCUAUUCAUGAUGAGAUUAUAACGCAAGCGCUUGCGUAAGUCAACCAGUUUCCUAAAAAAAGU